rnacentral:rRNA from 1 species
AUUGAACGCUGGCGGCAGGCUUAACACAUGCAAGUCGAACGAGUGGCGGACGGGUGAGUAAUGUCUGGGAAACUGCCUGAUGGAGGGGGAUAACUACUGGAAACGGUAGCUAAUACCGCAUACCAUCGGAUGUGCCCAGCUGGGCUUAGAUAGUUGGUGGGGUAACGGCUCACCAAGGCGACGAUCCCUAGCUGGUCUGAGAGGAUGACCAGACACACUGGGACUGAGACACGGUCCAGACUCCUACGGGAGGCAGCAGUGGGGAAUAUGGCACAAUGGGCGCAAGCCUGAUGCAGCCAUGCCGCGUGUAUGAAGAAGGCUUUCGGGUUGUAAAGUACUUUCAGCGGGGAGGCGUUACCCGCAGAAGAAGCACCGGCUAACUCCGUGCCAGCAGCCGCGGUAAUUC